AUGGUGAUAAGAUACGAUGAGGGGGAUGGGAAACCUUGGAAAGGGAUUGUUGACCAGAAAUAUUUGAGAGGGAAAAUCAAUUUAUUUGCUCCCAACCACCACCUGAAUUUUUCUAGGUUCUGGAAGGGAAUUAGAUCCAUCGUCCAAGCCUUGAAAUUUGGGUAUAGGUGGAAGGUGGGCAUGGGAAACCAAAUCAGGUUCUGGGAAGAUACCUGGUUUGGCACCUCCCCACUAGCAGUGCAAUUCUGGGUUGUUUAUACAGUGUGUAAUGAACAGACUAAAAGCAUUAGAGAUGUGUGGGAUGGAGAAAACCUUAUGCUUACUUUCAGAAGGAAUUUUGAUGACAAGCUUAUGGAACAAUGGUACCAAAUUGUGGAAAUUGUUAAAGGGAUUGUCUUUGACAAUGACCUAGAUUCCCUUAUUUAG
rnacentral:rRNA from 1 species